AAUCCAUAGGUUAAUGAGGCGAACCGGGGGAACUGAAACAUCUAAGUACCCCGAGGAAAAGAAAUCAACCGAGAUUCCCCCAGUAGCGGCGAGCGAACGGGGAGGAGCCCAGAGCCUGAAUCAGCAUGUGUGUUAGUGGAAGCGUCUGGAAAGGCGCGCGAUACAGGGUGACAGCCCCGUACACAAAAGCGCAUGUGCUGUGAGCUCGAUGAGUAGGGCGGGACACGUGGUAUCCUGUCUGAAUAUGGGGGGACCAUCCUCCAAGGCUAAA
rnacentral:rRNA from 1 species